GACGAACGCUGGCGGCGUGCUUAACACAUGCAAGUCGAACGGAAAGGCCCUGCUUUUGUGGGGUGCUCGAGCGGCGAACGGGUGAGUAACACGUGAGUAACCUGCCCUUGACUUUGGGAUAACUUCAGGAAACUGGGGCUAAUACCGGAUAGGAGCUCCUGCUGCAUGGGGGGGGUUGGAAAGUUUCGGCGGUUGGGGAUGGACUCGCGGCUUAUCAGCUUGUUGGUGGGGUAGUGGCUUACCAAGGCUUUGACGGGUAGCCGGCCUGAGAGGGUGACCGGCCACAUUGGGACUGAGAUACGGCCCAGACUCCUACGGGAGGCAGCAGUGGGGAAUAUUGCACAAUGGGCGGAAGCCUGAUGCAGCAACGCCGCGUGCGGGAUGACGGCCUUCGGGUUGUAAACCGCUUUCGCCUGUGACGAAGCGUGAGUGACGGUAAUGGGUAAAGAAGCACCGGCUAACUACGUG
rnacentral:rRNA from 1 species